UACCUUAAACCCUAACAACACACAACAUUCCAGGAAUGUACUACCAAAGUUCUAUCAAUAUUUGAAUGUCCUGGACAUUUAGGGAACAUUCGGUGAACAUCUGAUUAAAUUAUUCGUGGAAUGUUACCAUAAGACAUUCUGUGAACAUACUACCAAUGUUCCUGUUCAUUUUCAAAUUCACGGCGCAUGUAUUUGUGCAUGGUGCUUAGAGAGGGCAUCACGUGACUAAAAACGACCAAUGACCUCACUUCAGACUUCGGUUCGGCCAUCUUGACAUGCAUCUUGCCUUGGCCACCUUGCCGUGCGUGAUCGUUGUUUGUUUUUAUUUGUGCUUUUUAAGAAUAUUUUUUAAUUCGGAUACUUUUAUAAUAACUUUAAUAGUAUUAUUAAUAUAGUGCAUAAAAUCAGUUGGAGUAGCAGAAGCAAUGUAGAUAAAAAAAUCUGCAGGAAUAAUGUUUCAAAGCUUUCCAGAAGAUCCUGCGAAGAAGGCAUGAAGUAUUGAUCAGAUUUGUUAAUAGAGCAGUAUGUUCAAAACAUUUUUUAGAAAAAGAUAUUGACAGAACUUCACUUUCAACCGUUUGAGAGACUGUGCUGUUCCAAUAGCUUAUAUCACACAGAAUCAGCUGAGAGAAGUGGUCUACAAAAAACCAGGAAGGAAAUGGAAUAUGUGGCUAUGAAAGGCAAAAGAAAGGUUUACAAAGCAAAUGUGACACAUUUUUUUAUAGGAAUAUCAGUAAAUUACAUUAAAAAAAUGUAUGAAAAGAUUUUUUGCAAUAAAAAUGUUUAUAUUUAUCAAGCAUGCAUUAUUUGGUAUGGCCACAUAUCGUCAGUGAUGUGACAAUACCUCCUAUCUGUUUUUUCAUGAGAUUUGUAAGAUAGACUAAAAACUUGUUUGGGCCACCUCCUGUUUUCAUAUAUUUUUUGACUUGUUUUGCAGUAAAUUUAACUAUCUAUUUA